UGAGGAAUAUUGGACAAUGGGCGAAAGCCUGAUCCAGCAAUACCGCGUGAGUGAUGAAGGCCUUAGGGUUGUAAAGCUCUUUUAGUAGGGAAGAUAAUGACGGUACCUACAGAAAAAGCCCCGGCUAACUUCGUGCCAGCAGCCGCGGUAAGACGAAGGGGGCUAGCGUUGUUCGGAAUUACUGGGCGUAAAGAGCGCGUAGGCGGUUUGAUAAGUCGGGAGUGAAAGCCUGGGGCUCAACCUCAGAACUGCUUCCGAAACUAUCUGGCUAGAGUUUGGUAGGGGGUGAUAGAAUUCCUAGUGUAGAGGUGAAAUUCUUAGAUAUUAGGAGGAAUACCGGUGGCGAAGGCGAUCACCUGGGCCAUAACUGACGCUGAGGCGCGAAAGCGUGGGGAGCAAA
rnacentral:rRNA from 1 species